rnacentral:ribozyme from 21 species
CAGCAAUAAUAAGCACAGGAUGGGUUGUAGUCAGUUAUCAAGACAAACACACACAAAAAUGUACACAGUGAGUCUUUCGUAUUCAACGCUUUUUCGUCGUUUUGACUUUUUUUUGUUGUUUUUUUUUUUU